CCGACAGAGGAGACACCAAGAAGCGCGCUCGUCGCCCAUUCCUGCGCAAAUGUUCUCACUUCAAAUGAAGUGCCAACAGUGCGCGCCCGUCAGCCUUCGCAAUAGCGGCAACGACGACACCGAAACGGUCGGAUCAAACAACAUCCUCUCUCCCUGGGGUGACAAUGUUGUCUUCUCGCGCGCGCACACACACACAACACGGGAGUUACCGAGCGCGCCGGAGGGAAUUUUAAUGACUUCGUUGCGUUCCAUUUAGGACGAUCGUUGCGCGGUGUCCCGUUUGGCGUGCGCGCAGGAAGAUAGUGUAACUCACCAAAAGCACGGAAACCUGCCCGAGCCCGAGAAUGGAAUGGUUUGCCACCAGCUACUACUAGGUGCAUUGCGGGUUCACUUACCUGUUGGAAGAAACGAGAAAGAGAAGGAGAAAAGUGUGAGUAAAUGGACGCACUUAAGCUGUUGGUAUUAAAUAUUUACGAAACAUUACAUGCAAGGUACUUCCACCCUUAACGGGGGUGUGGUCUGGUUUGCUGCCAACAAUAAAAGUAAGGUACCGUUUUUA